rfam:Camelus ferus unplaced genomic scaffold scaffold420, whole genome shotgun sequence.
GGGGGUAUAGCUUGUGGUAGGGCACGUGCUUGGUGUGUACAAGGUCCUGGGUUCAAUCCCCAGUGCCUCCA